UACACCAAACCAUUUUUAAUUAAGUUUCAAGAAAAAUCAAAUCAGAUGAAAUAGCAAAACACAGAUCGGCAAUUACUUAUUGUUUAUUCUCCUCUUACAAAAAGACACUUGGAACAAUAAAUAUAAAAUGGUAUUGGUCUUGUUAAGCAAUGGGCAAAUACAAGUUUUCUUGGUAUUCUCCAAGGAAUAAGCUAGUGAGGUUUUUAUAAGUUUAUCCAUUCACCUCAUCCUACCCACCUCCCACCCUCUAUAAAAAGAUCAAUUCUACAAUUUUUAAUAAUGGAUUCUCAAAAUAAGUAAUCUAAGACUUAUUUUGUGACUAAGAUAUCUGAAUUAAGUUAAAAAUAUAUGUAUAAUAUGUUGUUACCCAGAAACCUCAACUAAUUCAACUCAUGAAUAUUCUUACGCUUGAAGAUUGAUGAAGCAGAACACAAAUACACAAAUUAUCUGUGACUAAAUUUAGCU
rnacentral:lncRNA from 1 species